rnacentral:rRNA from 1 species
AGAGUUUGAUCCUGGCUCAGGAUGAACGCUAGCGACAGGCCUAACACAUGCAAGUCGAGGGGUAACAUGAGUGCUUGCACUUGAUGACGACCGGCGCACGGGUGCGUAACGCGUAUGCAACUUACCUUGUACUGGGGAAUAGCCCGUGGAAACGCGGAUUAAUGUCCCAUAACACUACAAUUUCGCAUGGAAAAGUGGUUAAAGUUCCGACGGUACAAGAUGGGCAUGCGUGACAUUAGCUAGUUGGUGAGGUAAGGGCUCACCAAGGCGACGAUGUCUAGGGGUUCUGAGAGGAAGGUCCCCCACACUGGUACUGAGACACGGACCAGACUCCUACGGGAGGCAGCAGUGAGGAAUAUUGGUCAAUGGGCGCAAGCCUGAACCAGCCAUGUCGCGUGCAGGAAGACUGCCCUACGGGUUGUAAACUGCUUUUGUAUGGGAAGAAACGUUGGUACGUGUACCAAUUUGCCGGUACCAUAAGAAUAAGAAUCGGCUAACUCCGUGCCAGCAGCCGCGGUAAUACGGAGGAUCCAAGCGUUAUCCGGAUUUAUUGGGUUUAAAGGGUGCGUAGGCGGUAGAAUAAGUCAGUGGUGAAAUCCUGCAGCUUAACUGUAGAGCUGCCAUUGAUACUGUUUUACUUGAGUGUAAUUGAGGUAGGCGGAAUGUGUUGUGUAGCGGUGAAAUGCAUAGAUAUAACACAGAACACCGAUUGCGAAGGCAGCUUACUAAGUUAUAACUGACGCUGAUGCACGACAGCGUGGGUAGCGAACAGGAUUAGAUACCCUGGUAGUCCACGCCGUAAACGAUGAUUACUCGCUGUAGGCAAUACACCGUCUGUGGCUGAGCGAAAGCAUUAAGUAAUCCACCUGGGGAGUACGUUGGCAACAAUGAAACUCAAAGGAAUUGACGGGGGCCCGCACAAGCGGAGGAACAUGUGGUUUAAUUCGAUGAUACGCGAGGAACCUUACCUGGACUUAAAUGUAGAUUGACGUAUCCAGAGAUGGAUAUUUCUUCGGACAAUUUACAAGGUGCUGCAUGGUUGUCGUCAGCUCGUGCCGUGAGGUGUCGGGUUAAGUCCCAUAACGAGCGCAACCCCUGUUGUUAGUUACCAGCACAUCAUGGUGGGGACUCUAACAAGACUGCCGGUGUAAACCGCGAGGAAGGUGGGGAUGACGUCAAAUCAGCACGGCCCUUACGUCCAGGGCUACACACGUGUUACAAUGGCCGGUACAGAGGGCAGCUACUUGGUGACAAGAUGCGAAUCUCAAAAACCGGUCUCAGUUCGGAUCGAAGUCUGCAACCCGACUUCGUGAAGCUGGAUUCGCUAGUAAUCGCAUAUCAGCCAUGAUGCGGUGAAUACGUUCCCGGGCCUUGUACAC